rnacentral:rRNA from 1 species
AACCUGCCUGGUAGCGGGGGAUAACUAUUGGAAACGAUAGCUAAUACCGCAUAACAGUAGAUAUCGCAUGAUAUUUGCUUGAAAGGUGCAAUUGCACCACUACCAGAUGGACCUGCGUUGUAUUAGCUAGUUGGUGAGGUAACGGCUCACCAAGGCAACGAUACAUAGCCGACCUGAGAGGGUGAUCGGCCACACUGGGACUGAGACACGGCCCAG